CAUUAAAAAAUAAUUAAUUUAAUUCAGAACUUAGGUAGUGUCAUUUGUAGAUACAAAGUUAGGGCGUUCAUUUAAAGAAUAAUACGAGGGAGAGAGAGAGAGAAGGAAACAUAGGCUGCAAAGCAUAUAGGAAGAGUUGUACUUUAAGGUAGUGUGUUAAAAAUGUGAAGCGAUAAUGCACUAGGCUUCAUCUUUAUGCCCGGAAUUGUUCGCAUUUUUAUUUUUUCUAAAUAAUUGAAGGUAUCGAGAUUGAUACCUUCUUUCCAAUUUUUCAUCAAGCGAAUAGGCCAAUACCAUCAACUAAAGGUAAACUUAUUUCCAAAUAAACUCUGUACUCUAGCAAGAUUUUGGAACAUAUAUUGACAAAGGUUUUUUCAUAUCUGCGUGAUUAGUGUGCGGGAAAUAAGGCAUAGAAUCGUGAAGAGAGAAAAAGAAGAUGGUUGAUGCGUUGUCUCCUUCGUUAGUGCAACGAUCGGAGAAGAGAACUUUGGUCGAACAGUAUUUUUUGGCCAAGGAGCAGGAGAGAUGAAGACAGUGGUUGCGCAACAAAAUUUGCGAGUAAUUCGUGGUCUGGAAGAGCAGAAGAACACCAGGCGAUGAGACGUCGAAUACAAAAGGAUAUCCGAUAUCAGAGAUGUUGCUUAUUGAGGCUGAGGAUAUAUUGACCUACUUCAUCGUAGAAGUUGAAGAGGAAGGCACUCCAAAGAAUAUGGGGUAUUUAAAAGGUUGGUGAGAAGUAUUUAUGCAUUGUAGCAAGCAGGCUAACUGUUGAAUUGAUGAAACAAGCAACUCCUGGAUUGAAUCGGCACAAAAAUCAAUUCAUUGAAGGAACAGGCUCGAGAGAAAAUCCAACAUAAGCACAAGAAUUUUCAAAAAUUGGAUCUAAAGGUGAUGGUAGCGAGGUUAGCAUCGAAGGAAUGAUAGAGUGUAAAGCAGUUACGAAGAGAAAGUUCUAUGAAGACAAUGGCUUGGUAUAGGCUUAACAAGCGAGGUUGACAUUGAUGUCUAACUUGUGAUGAAGGAAGAUCAGCACCGUGGGUGGCAUUGAUUGGGGUAUGGGGGGCGGGGUAAGACAACAUAGCUCUGAAGUUUACAACACUAAAAGUCUUAAGAACAAUGCGAUUUAUAUGAUUGGGUUUCUGUGUCCAAAGAUACAGCAUAUUCAAGAUCUCUUCAAAAGGGACCAAUAAAUUUUUUAAGAAUCCACCAACAAAGGGAAUUGAGAUGUGGAGACGAUGAAAUGAAAGAAGAAAAGACAGAUUUAGAAUCUUAUUUACGUGAUUUUGGAGGACAUCGAUGACUUGUAGUGUUUGAUGAUGUAUGGGAUUGGAGAAGCUUGGAAAUCUUGAGGGGAGAGGCUUACCAGGACAAUGAAAAUGGAAAGUAGAGCAUUAUUACAACUCGAAAAAAAAAGUUGUAGCCUGAUAUUUGAAUGAGAAAACGGGUAUGUCCAUGAGCUCCCAUUUUGGAGAGGAAGAUGAAAAGUGGGAAUUAAUUUGCAGAAAGUGUUACCAAAUUUGUAGUAGUGAUGUUGAUGACAAAAAUAGGUUGUAUUCCUCAACACUUGGAGGGUAUUAUUGGCAAGAGAAUGGUCUUCAGAAGAAAAAUGUAUGGAUUACCGCUAGCCAUAUUGUAUUGGGUGGUUUGUGGUUGCAAGCAAAGAAACAGAUCCGGGAUGAGUGGACAAAGGUUUCAAACGAAAUGUGGGACAUUAAGGGAAGACAACCUCAGUUCAAACAUAUAUGGCUUUGGUUUCAAUGAUUUACCUCGUCAUUGAAGUCUUGCUUGCCUGAUAAUCGGCGUUUGUUUUGAAGCUUUGAAAUUGAUGAGACAAACUCUAUCGGUUUGUGGGUGCGAGGGUUUUUAUACAACAUUAGAUGAGAUUCUGAGGAGUAGCCGCGAAAUUUGAAAGAGUAUGUGAUUAGAAGUUGCUUCAGUUAGCGAAAAAAAAAAAAAAAAACAAUGGAGUGAAUCAUUUCAUGCGAAUUCAUGAUCGUCUUCGUGAUUUUGCAAUCAAAAAGUCAAGAGUUAAAGUGCCUAAUUCUUUGAUGGGAGCACUUGUUCUCAAUAGUCGAAGACUAGCCUUUCAUUGUGGAUUUCAAAGGUUGUUCCUUGGAUCAUUCAAAAAAUUUGCGCUUACGAACUUUCACGUUUUGUGUUAGAAAAUGAUAUGCGAAAUCGCUAGAUUAGCGUUCGGAGCAAGAAGGUGAGAUCAUUGAGAGUUUUUAAAUAUUUGGGGCGUAUACAUUCAAUCCUUCCAAUGACGGGAGCAAAAACAGACUAAGAAGCAAUAGGAAAAUGAUUCACGGGAGGACUUUGGGUGAAAUCGUCCCUGAUACCUGAUGUUCACCGUUAAUAGGUAACUUGCAAGCCCUAAAAACUUGGCACUUACACGGUAUUGAUCAUCCAAAUUCUAUUACCUAAGAGAUAUUGCAAAGCAAAGCAGCUCAGACUGAUUGGAGCUUCAAGGGCCCUUUCGAGUAGACAUUUGACAACUUCGAACUCUCAAAGUUGUUGUGGUUGAGGACCAGAGGGGAAUUGAUCAAUGGGGACUUGACAAUCUUCCGAGAGCUUUUGGGUUAUUCGGUUCUUUUCUGAGGACAGAGCAAUAGACACUCUAGACUCAUUGCUUAGAUUAGAUUCCUGCAAUCUUGCUGUUUGUUCGUGGCCAAGGAAUCUUGGUUCCUUCAUUUGAAACCACUUUCUCAUUGCCAACACCUCCUCAAUUGAAGGUUGGUAACACGAGACUACAAUGGGAGUACGACAGAGUUAACGAAUUCCCUACGAAUCUCAAGUUCCUCCAUUUAACGGCAGUGGAAUUACUUUUUUUUUUUUGCCAGAAGAUCCUAUGCCAAUAUCGGAAGCCUCCAAAACUGAUAAUUCUUGAAUGAUGGAGGAUCGUUGUACAAUAAUUUGGUUGCAACGCGUGGUGGAGGAUUCCUUCAACUCCAGUUCUACAUAUUAAUUCUAGUUAUGCGACGGAGUUACAAGUGAAAGAAAGGAGGAUGCUUGCGAAGGGUUAUCAAUUAUGCUUGUUAGGAUCCCAGAGAGACUGAAGAUCCAUCCCAGAAAUUCCCUUGGAGCUCUAUGAUGAUUGGCUUACUAAAGAAUCCACUGGAAGAAGUUUCUUUGAUUCAGUUCUGUAAGCUAAAUAGAGCUUUCAUUGGGGGAUUUCUUUCUUGUUCAUAAUAAACUAUCGUGGUCGACUGUCCAUGUUUCAAUGUAUAAAAAAAUGUGCUUGUGGUAUGUUAUAACGUAACCUUCGUGUACUGGUAUAAUUAAAUAAAUAUUUGUUUUUUUUAAAUUGUCAAAAAAUGUGAAUAUAACUUUAAAUAAAAAAUGGGCAUAUAUGUACUCUUGGGUAAAGCGUUUACACCAUAGGAAUGAAAAAAUCUAAAGAUUUAAAAUUUGUUCAAAUUUAGAAGAACAAAAAAAAAACUCGGAAGAUAAAAAAUUUAUUGCAAUCAUAAGUAUUUUUUUUUCUUUGGUUGCCAACUUUUAUAAAUUAGAUACAUUUUUUUUCACAUUUUCGGAAUUCUCUUAUAAAGAGGGCAAACCGAACAAGUAUGAAUCUUUAUCAAACGAUAAUGUAAUUAAAAUAAUGGUGCCAAGUGUCCAAAAUAACAAAAAAAUAUUACCCAAACUUACAACAUUAUUUAUGUCUAUACACUAUUAUGGCUUAGAAUAUUCAAAAUAAAUCAAAACCAAAAAAUAAUUUUUCUUUUUAAAAAAAAAAAGUGCGGAGUAUUACAUAACAUUUCAAAACCCAACAAAUAAAGAAUUGUGAAGGUUAUACUCUAAGAAGGUAGAUUCACAAUUAAUUAGGCUAAAUUAUUCAACAAUUUUUUUUUUCUUACCGAAAACGUAGCACAACGUGUUUGUAGGGGUAAAAAGUGUAUAAAAAUAUCUUAAGCAUAUCUGGAACGCUGUGGGAACGCGUAUUAAAACUCUUGGGAUUACGUCGCUCCUUAACCAUUUCAUUAGCUGUAGUCAGGGCAUAUGAUAUUUUUAGGGUAUUAUGCGGGGUUAAUCUUUUACUUACCAUAUUGUUUGGGUUUUUGAUACGGAGGGUGUUAAUCAUUUGUGUUAGCUCAUAAAUAUUACCUCUUCCCAAACGGAAAUGAGCACUUUCAUUUAUCCUCAACGCACACCAUACCCCUACAUUAGAUAAAUCCAUCUAAGUGAACUUAUCCGCAAAUAUAGUAUUUUUCCAGCAGAUAAAUGGGAUGUAUGUGUUUAAAACUGUGUUAUCCAUGUUUGUAGCUAGUGCGAGCAGAAGACAAAGCGAAUCAGACGAAGGAUGCUGAUGUUGCUGGUCUCCUUCGUAGUGGAAAGACUUGGUGACCUUCUCAUCAAACAAAUUUUCUGCAAGGAGUGAGAAUGAAUGAAGUCGCACUUGGUUGAGAAACAAAUUGAAGUAAUGUGUUUCUUGAAAGAGACAGAAGAAGAAAUAACAGGGAUGAGAUAGUCGAAUAAAAAGUGGAUACGACAUCAAACAUCUUGCUAUGAUUCAAGAGGAUUUAUUGACAACUCAUACACGAAGUGAAGAGGGAAGGACUCCGAAGACGAUCGGGUUAAAAGCAUGAUUGGAGACGAUAUUUAUGAUUUGUAGCCAACGAGGUAGUCCAUGAAGACGGCAACUCUAGGAACGAAAGUCAAAUCAUUGAGAGCAGGCUCGAAUAUAAAUCCACUUGUAAUCAAGAAAUUUCAAAAUGAAAGUAUGGUGAGCUAGAGAGAUUAGUUUCACACGAACGGAGACUAACUCAGCUAUGAUGAAGAGAAAGCCAUAUGACGACACUAAGCUUGUGGAGGCUUUAAAAGGCGGUUGACUUAUGAUGUCUGAACUUGUCAACGAAGAGCCACCAUCGAUGUGUGCGUAUCCAUUUGUGGGCAUGGGCAGCUUGGGUUUAGACGACUAUAUCCGGAGGAAACUUAUGGUUAGAUUUUUUUUUGGGGGGGACUAGAGUAAAUUGACAAAUAUUCACGGAGGAGAACAGAUC
rnacentral:lncRNA from 1 species